GUCGAGCGGACAGAAGGGAGCUUGCUCCCGGAUGUUAGCGGCGGACGGGUGAGUAACACGUGGGUAACCUGCCUGUAAGACUGGGAUAACUCCGGGAAACCGGAGCUAAUACCGGAUAGUUCCUUGAACCGCAUGGUUCAAGGAUGAAAGACGGUUUCGGCUGUCACUUACAGAUGGACCCGCGGCGCAUUAGCUAGUUGGUGAGGUAACGGCUCACCAAGGCGACGAUGCGUAGCCGACCUGAGAGGGUGAUCGGCCACACUGGGACUGAGACACGGCCCAGACUCCUACGGGAGGCAGCAGUAGGGAAUCUUCCGCAAUGGACGAAAGUCUGACGGAGCAACGCCGCGUGAGUGAUGAAGGUUUUCGGAUCGUAAAGCUCUGUUGUUAGGGAAGAACAAGUGCAAGAGUAACUGCUUGCACCUUGACGGUACCUAACCAGAAAGCCACGGCUAACUACGUGCCAGCAGCCGCGGUAAUACGUAGGUGGCAAGCGUUGUCCGGAAUUAUUGGGCGUAAAGGGCUCGCAGGCGGUUUCUUAAGUCUGAUGUGAAAGCCCCCGGCUCAACCGGGGAGGGUCAUUGGAAACUGGGAAACUUGAGUGCAGAAGAGGAGAGUGGAAUUCCACGUGUAGCGGUGAAAUGCGUAGAGAUGUGGAGGAACACCAGUGGCGAAGGCGACUCUCUGGUCUGUAACUGACGCUGAGGAGCGAAAGCGUGGGGGAGCGAACAGGAUUAGAUACCCUGGUAGUCCACGCCGUAAACGAUGAGUG
rnacentral:rRNA from 1 species